AGUGAACGCUGGCGGUAGGCCCAACACAUGCAAGUCGAACGGCAGCACAGAGGAGCUUGCUCCUUGGGUGGCAAGUGGCGGACGGGUGAGGAAUACAUCGGAAUCUACUCUGUCGUGGGGGAUAACGUAGGGAAACUUACGCUAAUACCGCAUACGACCUACGGGUGAAAGCAGGGGACCUUCGGGCCUUGCGCGAUUGAAUGAGCCGAGUUCGGAUUGGCUAGUUGGCGGGGUAAAGGCCCACCAAGGCGACGAUCCGUAGCUGGUCUGAGAGGAUGAUCAGCCACACUGGAACUGAGACACGGUCCAGACUCCUACGGGAGGCAGCAGUGGGGAAUAUUGGACAAUGGGCGCAAGCCUGAUCCAGCCAUACCGCGUGGGUGAAGAAGGCCUUCGGGUUGUAAAGCCCUUUUGUUGGGAAAGAAAUCCAGCUGGCUAAUACCCGGUUGGGAUGACGGUACCCAAAGAAUAAGCACCGGCUAACUUCGUGCCAGCCGCCGCGGUAA
rnacentral:rRNA from 1 species